UCAUUAACUCAAGUCAGUACAUGCAUAACUAUAGCAGUAUAUAUUUAUAAAGAAAAGAAUGAAAUAGGUUUUCGAUUUUCACAAAAAUAUUAUGAAAUCAGAUCUUAUAUUUUUAAUAUAAAUUUCUUGAAAUAGGGGGGAGGGGGGUUAUAUUGUUUGAUACUGAAUUUCUUUGAAAAAAGAUAAACUGCAUUUAUUAUAUCUCACAUAAUAUUUAUGAAUAAUUUAUAAUAACAUAAGGAUAACACGUAAAGAAAUUUGAAAUAAUUGAUUAUUUACAAAAAUCUCGGUUUUUUUUUUAUUCAUAUUUUCGCGGGAUUUUAACAGGAAGUUAGUUACCCAUACGCAUUACGUAUACUCGGUUUUUUCCUGUUUAAAAGAUAGAAAAACAAAGAACGAGAAACUUGCCGUUUAUCAAGUAUCCUUAUGUAGUUUGUCGAACAAAGCAAUGGCUGAAAUGAAUCUAAGUGGAGCAAAAUAAAAAUUCAGUUUUUGGAAUUCCAAUCUAUAAAAUCAUCAAAGAGGUUAAAUAUACUGCAAACGAAUAAAGAUGUCACUGAGAAACAAAUAUCUGAUAAAGAGUCCUCCUGCUUGAAGUCUGCAGCAGAAAGAACUCGAGGUGGUGGAAGAAAGUUGACAUGCAAAAAGGACAAAAGAGACUAAGAUAACAAAUGAAUUUAAAAAUAAAUCUUGAAUCAAAAGAAAUAUCAUUGUAUUACUAUAGUUAAUGUUGUUAUUCAGUAAAUUUGUAUUCGUGUAA